GAUGAACGCUGGCGGCGUGCCUAAUACAUGCAAGUCGAGCGAACAGAUGAGGAGCUUGCUCCUCUGACGUUAGCGGCGGACGGGUGAAUCACACGUGGAUAACCUCCCUAUAAGACUGGUAUAACUUCGGGACACCGGAGCUAAUACCGUAUAAUCUCUUGAACCGCAUGGUUCGAUAGUGAAAGACGGUUUUGCUGUCACUUAUAGCUGGAUCCGGGCCGUAUUAGCUAGUUGGGAAGGUAACGGCUUACCAAGGCAACGAUGCGUAGCCGACCUGAGAGGCUGAUCGGCGACAUUGGAAGUUGGACACGGUCCAGACGACUAAGGGAGGCAGCAGUAGGGAACGGGCCGCAACGGGCGAAAGUCUGACGGAGUAACGCGGCGUGAGUGACGGAGGUGUUCGGAGCGUAAAAAUCUGUUACGAGGGAAGAACAAAUGUGUAAGUAACUAUGCACGUCUUGACGGUAAUUAAUCAGAAAGCAACGGCUAACUACGUG
rnacentral:rRNA from 1 species